AUGGAGUAUGUGAGAUUUUUAAAAUAUCGUUUGUUUCUUAGACUGCUGGAGAAAGGACACUGCAAGGGACGAAGUGACUCUGCUAUCACACAGCUCAAACUGCUUCAAAGGUCUGCCCAGUGUGCAGUGGUUGGCAGUUUUCCUCAACUUUGCAAGAGAGACAGAGAGAUUUGGUUGGAAUGAAACCUUGCUCUCCGAACAGUCUGCUUGAGAUGCAGCAUUGAAAGAUCACUCACAAUCAGUUUGUGGCCUUCCUCUGAAGGAACCUUUCCUGUCUCUUCUGUAAGUAUUUGUUACCAAACAUUUUAUACUUUUCAAUGAGUUACACAUUUUGUUCAAGUUCCAUUUAGGGCAGUAGAGAGCCUUUGUGAACGUCUCUGUUACUGGCCACAAGAGUCAAUAUCGAGUUGUUAUACUGGUGCAGCAGUCCAGAAUUAUAAUGCAGCAUCAGCUUAUGGGACUCAGGCUUAGUUCAGUGACAUUGUGUGAUCAAUUGAUCUGGAAUUAAUAUGUGCAUUUCUGGAGGACUUCUGUUAAAUAUGGGGACAUAUUUGAUGCGAUGGGUAUUGCGUGUUUGAGCUCUGAGAAUAAAGCGUGUCGUAUUCCGUGCUGUGCAAGAGUUAAACAAGUAUAGGAAUCAGUCAACUAGCAUUUCAGCCCAUCCCUGCUGAUACCUGCCCUCAUGGCAUGGAAUCCUUCCUUACCCCAGUCCUUUCCAACCUAAUACCAACCUGCUCUUCUUAUCUGGGUAAACUAAAUAUGCUGUAUUCACCUUGACACCUAACAAUAUCAGAACUAAAAACCUGUUACUGGUUUCUUUGGAAAAUAUGAAGUAGGGUUCUGUUUUUGCCUGUUCUCCUUCACUUGCGUUUGGCUGCCGCUAUGUAAGUUACCAGUGCAGUGACUUUUUUCAUUGGAGAAAAUACAACAUAAAUCCAGAUAAUUGUGUUCUUAAGAACUGGAGCAGUUUAAAAAAAAAAAAAAUCAUUUGAGUUUUGCUUUUUCUUUUGGGGGGGCACGGGGAAUGGAACUCAGGGAGAAUUUGUUUGUUUUCUUUUAGUUUUUAAUCUUGCCAGGCUCUAAUCCGUGAUAGUUUUGUGUAUUUAGAACAAAAGUUUACAUUUUGCAUUGAGUUUUUAAUACAUAUUGGCAGUGAAAUCUACUGUUUUGUAACAAUGAAGCUUUUUGUUGUGAUAUAAAGGGAAAUAUAGAACUAGCACAUCAUAAUAUUUACUAAAGUAAAGAUAGACCAAAGUUUUCCAAAUGUCCACCAGCAUUUUAAGCCACUGUUUUGGGGUGUUCAAGCUGGAGCUAUUGCCAAAAAUAAUGAGGACUUCUAAAUUUAUGUUUAGAACUCCAUGUCCAAAUCUGUCUGGACUUUGUGUUACUUCAGAUCUCCAUUUUGCAAUUUAAAUUCGUGUCUACUACAUGUUCAGAGAGGAAAGUAGAUGGCUGUUAAAGUGCUGCCUGGAAUUAAAAUUAAAAAAAAAAAAAGGCAUAGCACAGUAAGAAAAAAUAGCAUUUUUAUAUUUGGGAGAGAAAUUAAACUGCAACUUUUAGUUCAAGUUGAGUUCUGAUUGUUGGAAUUUCUUCAAAGGCAUGCUGACAUGCAAAGAGACAUUCAGAAUUUUUUCAGGUGCACGCUGAAACAAAGAGCCUUCUUUUGCUGAUGGCAGAGCUAAAAUAUGUGACUUUAACAUUUAAAGUUGACUCGGUACUUUUGCCAUGCAGAAAGAAAUGGCAGACUUGCUUCUCCCCCGCCCUAUGGGCAAAAACAUGAGAUAUGCUGCAGUGACUGCCAAAGGUGAUAUGACAAUGCCAACUACCAAGGAGACGUAUUUGAGCUGACCUCUCAUGCCAGUGAUCUCCCCAUAUUUCUUUCCAUUCCCCUUUUCCUUUCAUUAUAAGGUGUCCCAAAUCUGUAAUUUACAACGUGCUGUUCCCGUUUUCCUCUGAUAUAUUUGCUACAAAUAAGUAGGAGUCUAUGCGCGUGCAUAGCUCCCCGUGGCAGUGUCAGGCCUGUGAGACGAGGGGAGCAGAGGCCCCCACAGAAUACAACAUGGCUUACGUCUAAUGUGACAUUUAUUUGACUCAGAAAGGCAAUUGAUUAAAGUCCCAUCAGACCUUUGCCAUCAUGUAUUAUGUAUUUAUCCAGCAGGGGCGGUUCAUAACGGUCCCUGACAAAUCCUAU
ensembl:lncRNA